AGAGUUUGAUUCUGGCUCAGGAUGAACGCUGGCGGCGUGCUUAACACAUGCAAGUCGAACGAAGCACUCUAUUUGAUUUCCUUCGGGAUUGAUUAUUUUGUGACUGAGUGGCGGACGGGUGAGUAACGCGUGGGUAACCUGCCUUGUACAGGGGGAUAACAGUUGGAAACGGCUGCUAAUACCGCAUAAGCGCACAGUACCGCAUGGUAUAGUGUGAAAAACUCCGGUGGUAUAAGAUGGACCCGCGUUUGAUUAGCUAGUUGGUGGGGUAACGGCCUACCAAGGCGACGAUCAAUAGCCGACCUGAGAGGGUGACCGGCCACAUUGGGACUGAGACACGGCCCAA
rnacentral:rRNA from 1 species